UCCGAAUUGGUGUAGGGGUCAACAUUGCCGCCUCUCAUGAUUACGUAAUCAGCUAUUUGAUUGUGUGAUCUGAAUCGCGGCAGCCCGGGGUUCGAUUCCCCGAUUCGGAA